GGGGUUGUAGCUCAGUCGUAGAGCACUUGCCUGGCAAGAGUGAGGUAUUGGGUUCCAUCCUCAGCUCCA
rnacentral:tRNA from 1 species